UGGGGAAUUUUGGACAAUGGGGGCAACCCUGAUCCAGCCAUGCCGCGUGAGUGAAGAAGGCCUUCGGGUUGUAAAGCUCUUUCAGCCGGGAAGAAAUCGCAUCAGCUAAUACCUGGUGUGGAUGACGGUACCGGAAUAAGAAGCACCGGCUAACUACGUGCCAGCAGCCGCGGUAAUACGUAGGGUGCGAGCGUUAAUCGGAAUUACUGGGCGUAAAGCGUGCGCAGGCGGUUGUGUAAGACAGGCGUGAAAUCCCCGGGCUCAACCUGGGAACUGCGUUUGUGACUGCACAGCUAGAGUAUGGCAGAGGGGGGUGGAAUUCCACGUGUAGCAGUGAAAUGCGUAGAGAUGUGGAGGAACACCGAUGGCGAAGGCAGCCCCCUGGGCCAAUACUGACGCUCAUGCACGAAAGCGUGGGUAGCAAACAGG
rnacentral:rRNA from 1 species